rnacentral:rRNA from 1 species
GAUCAAGCUACAAAGGGCUUACGGGGGAUGCCUAGGUACAUGGCGCCGAAGAAGGACGUGAUAAGCUGCGAAAAGCUACGGAGAGGAGCAAAUAUCCUGCGACCCGUAGAUAUCCGAAUGAGGGAACUCAGCGCGAGUAACGUCGCGUUAUUAUAUACUGAAUAGAUAGGUAUAUAAGGGGAACCCGGGGAACUGAAACAUCUAAGUACCCUGAUGAAAAGAAAAAAAAAGUGAUUCAGAAAGUAGUGGCGAGCGAAAUCGGAGGAGCCCAAACCAUGUAUGUAAUGGACAUGGGGUACGGACCGCAGAAGU